UGAGAAUCUGGCUGUAUAUUCUUAUACUUCAGAAAAAUUUAAAGAGACUUUGAUGUGAAAGCUUCCUUCAGCCUGUGAGUGAACUGAUAAGAGAUUUUUCUACAACCAAGAGAAAAUGAUCCAAUACAUCAAUCAGGCACUGUAGUGAGGAGACACGGCCUCCCGCCCUGUCAGAAGGGGAAAGACCCGAGCUCGCCCCCUGGUGGGCACAACUAGGCCACCUGUGGCCAUCCCGCCGGAAGCAGAGGGGUGGGACAGGAAGCUGGACUAUAAAAGGCCAGCCUCCUAGCUCAGUAGGGAGAGGGCUGCCAGAGGAGCAGGAUGUCUCUUCCUUGCUGCUGAGGCCUGGAGCUGAAGGAGACGGCUGCCUGACCAGAGGAUUUACCAGAAUUGUCGGAGACCAGCAACACUGAUGAACUGCUGGGGCUGCCAUUGGCUGUUUACCCCAGAGAGGCUGAGGAUGAACCUGGAGCCCAGGUGCCUCAAACUGGGGAGGGUAGGAAGGAGCCCGGGGAUGCCGAAUAGAGUUUGACUGUGGAAUUAUUGUGAACUGGCCAGUGUAUUGUGGGCUGACCUAAUGGUGAACUACCCCACCACUAAUAUGGCUCUGGGCUGGGAGGGCCUGCAUCCCCUUACCCCUGGUACCCCACCUGUGGAGAGUGACCACUUCCCCACUCAGAGGCCAGGAGGCCUGAAUUGGUCUGGUGCCUGUCGGAGCUAGGGUGCCAGGUGAAUUUACUGUUGCUUCCAGUUAAGAGCUAAUUCCCCACCUUGAUCUGCUGGGCUGUAUUGCACGAACUCAGCCUGAGCUAUAAAGUGUGAAUUACCCUGAUUAAGGGACUGGGGCAGAAAGACUAAUUAAAGGCCUGGGCUGAUUGUCGGCCAGGCUUGCUAACUGCUCACUGCCCUGAUUGAGGGAUUGGGCAGAGGGACUAACUACUACUUGGAUUAAUCACCAGGUGGACUCACCAGCUGGGAGCUACACUCUGCUUGAGAAACAGCAAGGAGGCACAGCCUCCCACCCUGUCAGAAGGGGAGAGGCACAUGCCCCUCCUUACAGGCAUAAAUGUCUCCCUGGGAUGUGCUUCUCUGCACCAAAACAAGAGGUUGCAAGUCCCUUAAGGGAGGUUCAGUAUGAGCUACUAUGAGCAGGGUUGGCCAUGCUAAAGAGCAGUUCAACACUGCAGGAGAGGAGAAGGAAGGAAAACAUUAGUGCUUCUUUGCUGACUCUCCUGCUAAGGGACCUGCUAUGGGU